AGAGUAGUAUUGGAAAUAAAUUUGCAUACAUCAAAUAUUUUAAUCACGUAUUUUUCAAAGCAAAGAAAAGAUUUUGAACGAGCAUUCAGACUUUUCAAACGAGAUUUGUGCGGGCCAAUUGGAACGGUAUGGAAUGGUGAUGCGGACAACCAAGAUGAAAAAUAUUCAUUAAGUUUUCUGUCUUUUAAUUUAAUUAGUUUGAUUUGCUCUGGAAGAAUAACAAUGUUAUUGAAUUAGUUAGUUGAGUAUGUUUAUUUUAAAGAUACGACUAUCAUGUUUUAAGUUAAAUUUGUGAGGGGCUCAAUUAUCUGUUUAUUAAAGAAUUUUAUUUUUAUAGUUUCGCACUUAAAAUAAAGAAAAGUGAGUUUUUCAUAAUGUUCCGACGUUUAUAAAAUUUGGGGCGUUUCAAACAUACUUUCCAGAUUUAGACAGGAGCCAACUAAUCUACAUUUUUCAAGCUGCAAAGAGAGUUCUAAGGUAUAUGAAAGGAAAUGCAAACCUUGGAAUCUGGUUUAGGAGGUCUGGAAACUGUGUUCUAAUAGGCUACACUGGCAGUGAUUGGGCGGGAUCAUGUGAUGAUAUGAAGAGCGCAUCAGGGUAUGUAUUCUGUCUGGGAUCAAGUCCUAUCUACUGGAACUCAAUGAAGUAGAAAACUGUGGUUCAAUCUACAUCUGAAGUAGAGUAUGUGGCUACAUCUGAUGCUACAAACCAGGCAAUCUGGUUAAGGAAAGUCUUGAAGGAUCUAAACCAUAAGCAAUCUGAUACAACAGUGAUCCAUUACGACAACCAAUCUGCUGUGGCUAUGGUUAAAAGCCCGGUGUUCUAUGGGAGGAUAAAACAUAUCAAGAUAAGGUAUCAUUCAAUUAGGGAAGCACAAGAGAACCUUGAAGUAAAGCUGGUGCAUUGCAAUUCUAAGGUCCAAUUUGCAAACAUCCUAACAAAAAGUUUGUCUAAAGAAAGGUUUGAAACAUUAAGGAAAUGCCUUGGUGUUUCUAAGAAAAGUGUCAAGAAGGAGUGUUAACAUUGGUUGAUACUUUUGCAGUCACCAAUUGUAGUAUUUUUUUUGUAUUAAAAUCAGCCUAUGUAAUGUUUAUUUUUAAUGAUUAUAAUGUCUGUCAAUGUAUGGUUUAUUCUGUCACUAAGUAAGGCUAUAAUUGGUAGAAGUUGUUGGCUUGUGGUAUGGUUGAAAACCUCUUGUAUUUCACUUAAAAUAGUAGCCAGUCAUGGAGUUUUUGUACUGAUAAUUUUAUUAACAGCAAGAAAUCUGUUUUGUCCCU